GCUCCCAUCAGCUUCAACACCAACCAUGUUCUCUGUAGCUCUGCUGCUGCUGUUGGCUGCUGGAUCCUGUGUGAAGUGUGAACAGCUGACACAGCCAGACUCUGUGACUGUGCAGCCAGGUCAGCGUCUGACCCUCACCUGUCAGGUCUCUUAUUCUGUGAGUGACUAUGCAACAGCUUGGAUCAGACAACCUGCAGGGAAAGAACUGGAGUGGAUUUUAACUGCAAGAGUGGGAUAUACCACAAGCUUUAAAGAUUCACUGAAGAACAAGUUCAGCGUUGAGUUAGAUUCUUCCAAAAACAGAGUAACCUUAAAGGGCCAGAACCUGCAGCCUGAAGACUCUGCUGUUUAUUACUGUGCCAAACAGUCACAGUGA